CCUACGGGAGGCAGCAGUAAGGAAUAUUGGUCAAUGGACGAAAGUCUGAACCAGCCAUGCCGCGUGAAGGAUGAAGGUCCUCUGGAUUGUAAAACUUCUUUUAUUCUGGGACGAAAAAAGGGCUUUCUAGCUCACUUGACGGUACCAGAGGAAUAAGCACCGGCUAACUCCGUGCCAGCAGCCGCGGUAAUACGGAGGGUGCAAGCGUUAUCCGGAUUUACUGGGUUUAAAGGGAGCGUAGGUGGACAGGUAAGUCAGUGGUGAAAUCUCUGGGCUUAACCCGGAAACUGCCAUUGAUACUAUCUGUCUUGAAUAUCCUGGAGGUAAGCGGAAUAUGUCAUGUAGCGGUGAAAUGCUUAGAUAUGACAUAGAACACCCAUUGCGAAGGCAGCUUACUACGGGAUUAUUGACACUGAGGCUCGAAAGCGUGGGGAUCAAACAGGAUUAGAUACCCUGGUAGUCCACGCCCUAAACGAUGGAUACUCGACAUCAGCGAUACACUGUUGGUUGGUUCGUUGUAGCGAAACGGACGAAUUAAGUUAACUUACCCUACCCGUACGGGUAAGGUAACCGGACCGACCGACGGUUAGUAAACGUUAAAGGUAAAGUUAGUACGGCGUGAGACGUAGCCGAACGGACGACGACGAGGGAGGUUAGGG
rnacentral:rRNA from 1 species